CCCUCACGGUUGUCAUUCUCCCGUAUCCCUAACCUCACGAAACCCACCAUCGGACUCAUCGCCUGCCAUGGAUUGCGCCGCCACCCUUCUCCCUACUGCCGUCGUCGCUCCGUUUCCCAUCCGCCGCCACCGUCCACCGCAUCCAGCCUCUGUCGCAUCCCAUCGUCUCCACCGCCACCACGAACCAUCUCUCUCCUUGGUCGUCUCUCUUGGACCAGCACGCGGCGGCGGAUUCUUCCGAUGGCGUGUGGCGACGCGUCCGGUCGAGGGAACGGGGGUGAGGCAGACUGCGUUCCGUUCAUCGAUCUGUCCCCACCUCAUGUUCCUCCUCUCCAUUGAAUUUCACGUCCCCAGUUACUGCGACACAGGACGCUCUCCACUCUUUGACAACAAUGGUGCCCGUCCUGUUGUGCCUCUCCACACUUACCAUCGAGGCGCAAAAAUAUUUGGAGAAGAUCGCGCUCCCUGUAGAAAAUUCGGCGUGUGUUCUAAGUGGCUACCCAGCAAGAUAAUUUUCUGCUCUGAAGUUCUCUCAUGGAACUUGGGUGGGAUUGGCGAUCGUGCUAGGUGGAGUACGUGCCACUGGAUGGCCAUGUUAGUGGGCAGAAUCUCCUCUCCUUCAGACACAAACUUGGAUUUGGCAAGGAACUGGACCCGUGCCGGAUGUUCAUCAGCAACGCUAGUCAGGGGUUCAGGCUCCUGUGGAACUCAUGGCAUCAGUCAUAUGAACCUUCAUGUAUUUGAUAGUUUUCUCGAUCACUUUUAUGCCCUCAACUACAGCUAAGGCUACCCCACAAGUUCAUUGAGAUUUGUUUUUUAUAGGACUUGGAUUAAUAAUCUCCAACAAUAUGGUCAUUGCUUCUUAUAUAUACUUUCAGUUCUAAAUACAUUUCAGAUUUUCUUUAUCCUGUACUACUAAACUAUGUGUGCUAAACCAAACAUGGCAUCUGCGUCUUUUUAUGCAUGCAUGUUUCAAGACAAUAUAUCUAAUAUGUAGUAUACAGAAAGGUACCUAAAUAUUAGCUUAUAUUGCCAACUCUUGAAAAUAUACGGUCCCUGUACAUUUUUUGCCGAGAACCUGGGGAGCUUGGGACGAAGUAUGGUGUCAAUAAUCAGUAUAUACCAGAACAAUAUUUCAACACCGAUGUCACUUGCCACAGUACUUCCUUCACUGCCAAUCUAGCCGCAAACUCUGUUUGUCCUCGAAUCUAGCUCCACAAAGGUUGUGCUUUGCCGUGCAUCUAAAAGUAAGGUUACUAUCAUAAUUAAUUAGUAGAGCUUCUUCUCUAUUCAAAUUGAAUUUGAUAAGCAACAAAGUCCUAUGUGUCAUGCUUCAAUUAUAUGGCUCGAGCCGGCCAAACCUGAAAUGUUCGGUGAAGAUUCAAAGUACAUCUAGAUUACUUUGUGUUGCCCACAAUCCUAUUACUUGAUUUUUUUGAGCUAACUAUAUCUAUGGAUAAAUUUGCAAGAUGAUGCAAAAAAAUUGCUUGCAGGUAGGCUGUGUACAGAGAUGCAUGUUGUGAGUUCAUAACAAUUUUACAAUAUUGAGAUUUGUUUAGAUGCUUCUAAGCAGUGCUAUAGCAGAACGGUGCUCCAUUUCCUUACUGUUGUUGCUAAAUAUUUGUUUUGUGGCAUAUUAGGACUGAACGGCAUCAUGCUAACAACCUCACCCUAGGAGUCCACUUCUUCACGGUCAUGGCAUCUGCCUCCACCAAUUAUCUAGAGUUAAGUUCCAGAGACAAUUGGGGAGGUCAACUUUGAGCUGCAGCACUCUAUGUGUUCACGCAAUCGGGACGCCCAAAAUAUCAUGCCAAUAUGUGAUUUAUGCCUUUUCUGUUAGGAUUAUCUCCCUUCUCCACGGAUAAAUUGCUUGAUGUGUUCAAUGGUCCGGUUUUCCCUAAAUGUUAAACACUAAAAAGGCCUGAGUGGAUUAUCUCCCUUCUCCACGGAUAAAUUGCUUGAUGUGUUCAAUGGUCCGGUUGAAUUGGAAACAAGCAUGCUACAAAUCAAAUAGUUAUUUGAUAAGGCAUUUGAUGAGCUCCUGUCAUUCUAAUCUACUUCCCACAUUUUACAGCUGAUGUUAUUUAGUACUCUGUAGUGAGCCUAAGAAAUAGUACUAUGGGGAGAAGCAGGCAACACGUAAUAUGUGUGUCAUUUGAGAAAAAUGAAACUUCCAACUUUCCAACUGUUCAUUGCAUAUUACAUGUAAAAGACACUAUCUUAGACAAAUACAUGAUUCACCAGGUUCAAUGAAAGUUAGCUUAAAUACCAUGUAUUUUUCUGCACAUGGAUUAUUGCCUAUUGUAGAUCAUCCUCUGUACAUUUGUUAGUCUAAUAGUCAAGCAGGACAAAAAAGUUCACUCCAGUAAUGCCUUUGCUCUACAAGAUCUGACAAUUGUUAAAACAACAAAUCACAGACUAAUGAUUUCAUUUGUUUGCGGGUAUAGGCACUGUAUUUUUCACUCUUAUGCAAAAAAAACUUUAAGUCGUGAUUUUUUUUUUUCAUGAAAGAUCUCGAGGGUGAGACAAUUUUCAUCAUAUUCAGAGGAAUAUUAGCUUGAGUACCAUAUAGAGGGUGAGACAAGUGGUACUUGACAUAACAUGUCUCUUGUGUUAAUUUUCUUAUUCAGGUGGCACACUACGUGUAGCAAACUCAUUCAUAGUAAAGAAAUGAAUGGUAUCAUUUCUCAUGCCACGGAAGUAUGGUCUGAAGUUGCCUUACUCUGAGGACCUUCUUUCAACAUCUAUGACCUGAAUAGCAAAAUUAUGGCAACAGCAGUCACGUCAGGCAUAAUACAACGCACAGGGCCAUCAACUAGCUCCAUAAAUCUUAAUCUCAUUUUCUGUGAUUGUUGGUUUGCUAUAUAAGUCAUUGAUGAUGAAAGAAUGUAGAAACCACGUGUUGGGUACAAUAUUUAACCAUACAAUUUCUGCUAGAAACCAUCAUAAUCCAUGCCUCCCCCUACUUUUCUUACAGCAAACUAAUAGAUCUCAACUAACCACAAGCUUAGCCUGUGGUAUACUGCAUAAAUAUCUAGCUUAUGGAAAGCCUGGUAAGUGGAGCACUGGAGCGCCUUCUAACUAGCAGAGCCCAAUUCACUGUUUUGUACAUAGAUGAGAAAUUUGCUUGCUGCCACUCAUCUAAUAUCACAAUGUUUCUGUUCCAUGUGGAACUAACAGUUCACAUCUCCAGCUCUACUGCUUUGUUGUUGUACACAAAAGCUUUUGUAAUCACGAUGCUGAUAUACCUAUGAUAGUUCAUUCUUCGCAAACAAGAAAUUCUACAUGCUGCGGAGAACCACAUCUACAACAGAUCAGGUUACUUGGUGUGAACAAAUUGGAUGGGCCACAACUUAGUUUGUCUCACGUGAGUUUACACUAUUACAAAAAAUUACUACAGAUGUAGAACAAGCCAGUGGGAAUUUGUGUCUUGACUAUCUGUCAUAUUUUAUAACUAUCAUACUUUGUAGUGCUUAUUAUAAUGGGGGAUAGAUUCUGAGAUGUACUACUAUUAUAAUGGCGGAUUUUCUUAGUCAACUCAUGUAUGCAUAUUUAAUUUUGUGGAAUUUAAUUAUAAUAAAAAAGCUGUUCUUCAAUAUAAAA